rnacentral:rRNA from 1 species
AUUGAACGCUAGCGGGAUGCCUUACACAUGCAAGUCGAACGGCAGCACGGACUUCGGUCUGGUGGCGAGUGGCGAACGGGUGGGUAAUGUAUCGGAACGUGCCCAGUAGCGGGGGAUAACUACGCGAAAGCGUAGCUAAUACCGCAUACGCCCUUAGGGGGAAAGCAGGGGAUCGCAAGACCUUGCACUAUUGGAGCGGCCGAUAUCGGAUUAGCUAGUUGGUGAGGGAAUGGCUCACCAAGGCCGCGAUCCGUAGCUGGUUUGAGAGGACGACCAGCCACACUGGGACUGAGACACGGCCCAGACUCCUACGGGAGGCAGCAGUGGGGAAUUUUGGACAAUGGGGGAAACCCUGAUCCAGCCAUCCCGCGUGUGCGAUGAAGGCCUUCGGGUUGUAAAGCACUUUUGGCAGGAAAGAAACGGCGCGUGCUAAUACCAUGCGCAACUGACGGUACCUGCAGAAUAAGCACCGGCUAACUACGUGCCAGCAGCCGCAGUAA